rnacentral:rRNA from 1 species
UACGGAGGGUGUUAGCGUUGUUCGGAAUUACUGGGCGUAAAGCGCGCGUAGGCGGAUUGGAAAGUUGGGGGUGAAAUCCCGGGGCUCAACCCCGGAAUUGCAUUCAAAACUCCCAGUCUUGAGGUCGAGAGAGGUGAGUGGAAUUCCGAGUGUAGAGGUGAAAUUCGUAGAUAUUCGGAGGAACACCAGUGGCGAAGGCGGCUCACUGGCUCGAUACUGACGCUGAGGUGCGAAAGCGUGGGGAGCAAACAGG